CAUAUGGAGGUUCCCAGGCUAGGGGUCGAAUCGGAGCUGUAGCCACCGGCCUACACCAGAGCCACAGCAACGUGGGAUCCGAGCCGCGUCUGCAACCUACACCACAGCUCAGGCAACGCCAGAUCCUUAACCCACUGAGCAAGGGCAGGGACCGAACCUGCAACCUCAUGGUUCCUAGUCGGAUUCGCUAACCACUGCGCCACGACGGGAACUCCACAUAUAUUCUUAAUGUUAGCUUCAGGACAACUCAAGAUAAGACAAUAAUCUUUUAUUAUUCCCAUUUUUCAGAACAAUAAAGUAAUGUUAAUGAUAGUAGGUAAAACUGUCAGGUUAACAACUCUAAGUUUAGAGUUUUUAUCACUAUAUGCCUGGUAAUUUCAUGGUGCUUUACAUUUUCAAAGAAGAAUCCAGAUUUUUGUUAACAUGCUCCCAAAAGUUCUAACAAAAUAUUAGGUAUCACACCACACACAUAUCUCAUCAUACACAUAUGUAUAUAUAAUUUACUACUAAUUAAUAAGCAAUUUAAUAGUUUUUAAGGGCUUCUGUCCACACCCAUUUAGCAGAUCUUAGCAAUACUCUCCAAAGAAGUUACGCCAGGUAGUAGAAUGCCCAUUUCCAGAUGAGGAAAUAGGGACUAGGAGAGAUUGUAACUCUUUACACUGUCUUUACAGUGUGAUGAAGAGCAAUGAUGUGUGCACCUGGGCUGUGGGUCCAGACCUAUAACAACCAGCAGAGUAACUUUAGGUAAGUCAUCCAACCUCUCUGAGCUUUGCCUUCCUUCUAGGACAAUUACAGAAGGUGAGUCACUCACAGAUACCAUUUAACCCGUAAAAGUCUUAUCAGUCUGCAGCUCAGCUAAUUCAGUAGAUGGUCUAAGCCCUAGCUCUUCUUUGCCCCCUCCCAUGCUGUACUGCCUCUUAGGAGAUCUCACUAUGCUCUCCCAACUGAAGAGUUAAUUUCAUUUGUUUUUUGUUUAUCUUUAUAAAGAACUGGGCCCUGUUUAUCCUUUGGUUCCUGGGCUUAUGUACAGCCAGUAAAAACAUUCCUCUACAAGAAAGGCUGGUGAGACAGAGGUGUGCAGGCACAGGGGGUCCAGGGCAAAGGGCGUGUCCUCCUGUGACCUCCUCUCACUGCACUGCCACGCUCUCACUUCAGGGAUGGCAGGUGUGUGUUUGUUUUCAUGGCUCUUGCUAUCUUCUUGUUUUUGUUUUCAAAGAAAUAGUCCAAAACUCAAGGUUGAUAGGAAAGACAGGUUCCUACAUCCAGGUCCAGGAACAGGGUCACAAUUAAUUUAAUGCUAUUUAAGUGGUCCAGCCCAAAACCUUCCUAUCGUGAAGAAGGGGGCAAGUUCAGAAGUCGUGGGUAAGGGCACCCAGCUAGAGGUGGGGACUCCAUUGCAAAGAAUCACACAGACUCCCUCUGCUGACAUAAAGAAAGUUCUCCUACAUCCUUGCUGAGGUAGGUGCCAGAGAAAUAAGCAACCUGACCCCCUGAAGAGUCUUCGGAGCCUGGCAGUAACCUGAGCUGCUCUAGGUUAUUUUUGCUGAGGGCUAGUGGUUCUUAAAGGGACUGUGCUCUGGGUGCCCCUAUCCAGACACAGAACACAAAUCAAUGAAAAGACCAAUGUGACGUGGUCACCUAAGGCAGUUUAUUGGAUGUAUGGACUAGAUCAGUAAGGUGUGUGAGCAAAUAUUUUCAUCCCCUUUCAAGGGGAUCGAUUGUAAUACCCUGUGUUAUAAUAUGAUUGGUUUCAAACAUGGAAGUGCUGAAUAACACAGCACCCCAUUGGUUUAAAAUGGAAAAUGAAAGCAGGCAUGCCCCAAGGCUCUGUCCUCAGCGCCAGGCUGCUACUUAAGAAGGGAGUGGGGAGGAGAGAUUAGAGAUGGGGGUGGCUACCAGGGCUGUGCUCACCAGUCAUCAUCCCCAUUUAAAUGCUCCCUCCAAGCCUGACAGGUAUACCAACUGUACAAAGAAGGAAAGUGGGGCUCGGCAAGGCUUCCUAACACACGUCAGAGUUUCGUGAUGGGUGAGUGUUGGCCCCUUCCGCUAUGUCUACCUGAAUGGUGAUGAUUCCGAAAGCAAAUCCUCACCCCAUUCAAAAAACAAUUCUUGUGAAACAACCAGUCCUUUCAUCCUCUGUCCCACAUCCCUGAAGUGGCCAGGGGGGAGCAGGAAUAAUCCAGUAACGAGGAAAGUGGGAUCCGGAGUCACAAGUGCCCAGGUUUGAAAACCUGCUUCACCACAAACUCACUGGGUGACCCUGGGCAAGUUGGUUAUACUCCUGGAGCCUCGGCGGCAGUAACAGUAAUACCUACAUCAUCAGGCUGUUUUGGAGAUUAAAUAAGAUACUCAUACGCGUAGUGUACUUGGAAGCAUGCCUGGCACAUGGAACCCUUCAGUUAAAGGGUUGCUAUUAUUAGUUGCGUUAGUAUUCCUAUUCAGCAAGUGUGUAAUUCAAGUUGCCUUGAAAUCUGGCAAAGGAUAAUCAUGAGAAAAAUAACGUUCAGCUAGCUGUUGGGCAGGUCCUUAGCACACGUGAUCUCCAGUGCCCACAACUCUGCCAGGCAAGUUGAUGCUACUCCCCUCUGCAGACCAGGGGCACGAGGCUCACAGAGGUUUAGUGACUUGCCUGAGUCACAACUAGGAAGUGAUGGAGCAGGGGGUUGAACUCAAGGUCUGACUUCAAAGCCUGUACGCCUUCCACUCAAUUGAGAAACAGUCAGGGAAUAGAGAGCAGAGGGGAGCAUCCUAUUCCACAGCUGGUCAGCUCUUCCCUUAGGUCAGCCUCAUAACCUCUUUGUCCUGUUUCACCUUCCAGCUAUGAUUUGGGGUGGAGGAGUCUGAUUUCUGUAGCAAGUGCCAUAUAUUAUUCAGCGACAGGUAAUUCAACAGAGAAUAAUAAAGCUCUCUGUAAUCUUAUUAAAACUACAUUAUUCUAAGUGCUAUCUCCCUUCCUCUAGGAAUCUUCACGACGACCCUAGGCACAGGGCUAAUUAUCUUGGAGAGCGAAGGGUGCCUUGAUAACUCACUGGCAUGAGCUGAUAUUCUGGAGGAAAAUAAAAUAGCCAAUUUAAUUGUUUAUAGUAACAAUCCUGUUCUAUGAUCAAAAUUUAUCCCAAGUAACAUGUCCAACACAUUACAAUUUUUAAAUUUUUUUAAAAAAUAAAAUGUAUUGCUACACUUUAAUUUUAAUAUUUGAAGAAGUUUGAAUUUAUAACCAGUUUGACUCUUCACAGACAAUAUCUUUUGAUAGUUUUCUCAUGCAGUCUUGCAUACUUCACAUUGUUUUUCACUCGUAAUCUUAAAAUCGCCACGGUUUUAUAUAACAUCCCUUGAAAGGUGCCUUAUAAAACAGAAAUUUAUAGACGGAUUUCUUCAGGACUCAAAUUCUUGUCUCUCUCCUUGCCCUCAUCAAACUUAUUUUAUCCUUAUCUUUUUUAUUUUCUAUUUUCCCUUUCUUGUUGUUUAUUUCGUUUCUUUUGUCACAAUGACAGGGUGGAGCAAUCUUACAAAACUAGAAGCUCUUCUAUAGGUUUCUCAAAGCUGAGUCUACAGACAACCUACUUCAUUAUCUCCAGGGAGGGGUCCCCAAAUCUACAUUUUUAGCAAGCUGCCCUGGUGAACUGCACAGGCUGGGAUAUAUCAUAAGAUCUGUAAUCUGCUAAAUCCUAGAUACAGCUCAAUUCUAGCCUUUUCAAUUGAGCAAUAUGCAUAUGCUAGUUUUAGCAAAACAUAAACUUCACUCUCUAGACCUCAGCUGAGAGCAUCAGACAAUAUGCAUCUUAUGUACUAAAUUUAAACAAAAGAUUUUAGCACGCACUAUUAUUUAUUUCAAUGUGGAGCAAUGAGCAAACAAAAGAGGGUUGGAUCAAAUGAGGACUCCAAAUGGAUCUAAUGAAGACUUCCAACCUAAGUGCUUAAAGGGAUGUACCCCCCCCAUUGCAGUGGAGGUGUUUGAUGCAACAAAUCUUCACUUUCAGCAUCCUACUGAAGUGUAAAACCUCACCGCCUGUGUCCCUAUAUUUACGCUCAUUAUCUAAAACCAACAUAAAUUGAACCAACUAAGGACCAAUGGCUGAUACGAGAGGAAAACACUCAAAUGGAAUUUCUUCAAAAGUCUUCAUUUAAUGAAAAAGAUUAUUGACUAAUAAUGCAGAAGAGAAGCUAAACCUCAACACGUGACAUCUUUUGAGAGGUGCUUGGCUUACGUAAGUGUUGAUCCUUUUCCACAACACCUUACAGGGAAGUCAGGUCUGUUGGGUCAACAGGACAGGUUACUCUAGUCAAAGUCAUAAUAUCGCCUAACUUGUCACAUUUCCAGGCUGUUCCUCAGCCCCUCCUUUCCAAUAGUUCAGGACCUCUUCCUCUCCCCACCCCUAUCCAUCCUAUCUCCUCCCUCCAGUUCCUUCCUCUCCUCCCCCUCCUCUUCCAAUCUCCUUUCACUAUCCCUCCUAGAGCCCACUGCGGACCACAUCGCCUUUAUCCUUGCCAGCAUCUCUUGUCACCUUGUCCUUGAGUGUACGGAUCCCCUAAACCUCCUUCGGGUCCUAUAUCACCCAUCAGGAGUGGCUGAGGAACAUCAACUAGGGAGACAGCCACUUCCGCUGAGCCCUCUGCAGGUUCAGGUGGGUGUUACCACCUCUGAAGGCACAGGUCAGUCCAGGCUUCCUCUAGAGGCAGCUCCAAGUGUUUCCCAUUUUCUUCAAUAUUAUCCAAUUUUUACAGAAAAAUGACUUGCCUUCUCCUUCACAAAAGCCACAAAUAAAACAGAACAAAACAAUGAGUUUUUCAAGGAAAAAUUUCCUCCAUGUAUAGUCUCUAUGCAUCGACUCAGUAACACAGCUCCCUAGCUGUCCCUCUUUCUGCCCCAAAAAACAGAGCUGGGAGCACUCCGGUGGCUCCAGGAUCCCGCUGAAUCAGUGAUCACCAUUCCUCUACAUCAUCCAUCUUUCCCUCUCUGAUGACUCUUAUCUUGGCAGCACACAUAAAGAGGUCCACAUCUAUAUAAAAAGCUUUCUGGGUCCCACCUCCGUCUGUCUAUCAGCUCAUGCCUAUGCACAGCCAAGCUUUUGGAAAGAGUGGUCAAGAUUAUGAGGGCAAAAAUAUGACUAUAUUGUUUUCCUGUCUGAUUCCAAUGCUAGAAUAGUUCUUGGUAGGCCCCUAAGAAAUAAUUCUCAUUGUUUAAUACUGAUGCUUCAAAAAGGCAGAAAGCCCAAUAGAAAAGCGAACAAAAUACUGCAAUGGGCACUUUAUAAACAACAGCAUAAAAUAUCCAAAAACAUAUGACAAGGGUUCAACAUCAUUAACCAUCAGAGAACUAAAAUUAAUACUACAAGUCUAUACCACUACAUAACAACCAGAAUGGUCAAAAUGAGAACGAUAAAAAUAUCACAGCAAGGUAGGGGCAAUGAGGACCCUCAUGCACAGUCGAAAGGCGUAUCAAUUGGCACAUGCAUUUUGAAAAAGUGUGUGGCUGUUAACUACUAACACUAAAUACGUACAAGUGCUAAGAUCUACCAAUUCCAUCCCUGGGUAUACACUCAAUAAGCAUGUAAAACUAUUCACAGAAGCAUUAUUUGUAAUAGGCUGAAAACAAAACCCAAAUUCACCAAUGGCUGAAUGAAUAAACUGCAGUAAAUUCAUAUAAUAAGAUCCUACACAGCAAUGAGACUGAAUGAUUCUUAGAUGCAAAACCAUGAAUCAAUGUUGCUAACAUACUGGUAAGUGAAAGAAGCCAGAAACAGCAGAAAACACAGCGUAUGAUUUCAUACAUAUAAGGUACAAAAAUUGGCAAAAUCUAUAUAUUAGAAGUCAGCAGUUACCCUUGUGGUUGAAAAAGAAACGAGAAAUGCCCUUAGAAUGCUAAUAAUGUCCAGAUUUUUUAUCUGCUUUUUAGUUCAUGAAAAUUCAUCAAACAGUAUAUUUCCUUUUAUGAAUACCUGUUAUAUCACACAGUUUUAAAAACCUGGACACAGUGAUUGGUCCCCAAUUCUUUCUUUAUUCAAAACACUCUUGAUUUCCUUCUCUGUGUCACCCUCAUAGAAGCUAAGAUCCUUGAGGCCAGAGACUAAUAAUCAUUUUCCGCCUUGGCUUCCUUAGUUCUUGCACAGAACUUGGCACACCAGCUCCCAACAAGUGAUUUUGGAUGAAUGAACGCACAUGCUGCCUCAGCCCCAUGGGUAAACUCAGUUCUUUUAUAUGCUCUUGACUCCAAAGCCCGCAUUUUCAGCCUCUCUCCUGGGCUGCAGGUUUCAGGACGGCCUGCAGAGCAUGGCAGUGGUCAUGAUCUGCCCUUUAUCUGAGAACUGGCUUUGAGUCAGGAGCUUUACAUAAUUACCUUUUGCCCCUCACCAACUGACUUCAAGUUGGUAACAACUACCCCCCAGUUCACAGACCAGGGAAACUAAGGAUCCCAGAGGUUAUGUGACUUACCUAAAAUGACGCAGGUGAUCAAUCGUAGAAGUAAAAUUGAAACUCAGGUUCUUUCUGUUCCCCAAGCCAGUGAUCCUUCCAUAGACCACACAUGAUCAUAGACACAGCAAAUGUAAAACCCAGGUCAUUGCUUUUCUCAAAGGCUCACCUUCCUGGGCAAUUCCAUCACCACUCACCCUGUGGUGCAACUAGAGUCCUGAGAACUGCCUUCUUCUUCCCUCAUCCUUCACACUGACUUAAGUCACUAGGACUGUUUCCUAAGCUUGAAAAUCCACCCUAGGCUCACUGUUCUGAAUAUCCCAGCGUAAGCUCAGGUCACUCAUUUUUUCUUUUGAAGAUUACUGUUAACUGUCUGCAAACUAUGCAGUAUUUUGCUGUCUGCACUUUACUGCAAACUGUGUCUCCCAAUUCAGACCUGGGUCCCUCUAUUUCAUGCUCAUGAUACUGCCUGACAGCUCUUGGUAAAAUGCAAAUGUGAACACGUCUCUCCUCCUUGCCCACAGGAUAAGGCUCCAACAUUCCAGCACGGCAAACCCUCCUUUACCUGGUCCCUGCCAAGCAUUCCAGAUCCUUCCCUGGUGAUGUCCUUUCUCCUCUCCCUCCACCCUGCAAUCCAGCCACACGAAGAUUUCCUGCUUGGUUCUCUGUCUUUGGGGCUUUGCAUGCCAGGGCUCUAGUUUCCUGGAAUGUUCUCCUGUGUUUAACUUGCAAGAUGCAGCUAAGGCAUAUACUCCUCUGUCAAGGCCUCCAACAGAGCUGAAUGAUUCCCUUUUAUAUCACAGCUAGGCUUUGUGUAUUUUCUCCUAUAUCCCAUUUCAUACUGUACUGCAAUAUUUUGCUGCUGCACUCUACUUCCAGAAUGUUAACUUCUCAGGGAUAGACACAUGCCUGUUCUUUUCUGCAUCUCAGGCCAGCACACAAAAGAGUAAAAGGAAAAACAUAAAGAUCUGUAUUGAAGGGGCUAUUUCGUGGAUUCCAAAUCUCUGAACCUAUAAUGCAGAGACCAUCCAAAUUCUAUCUCAAAAGUUACAUGGUACAAAAAGGGCCUAAGACUUUUAGUGAUUAUUCUCAGAGCUAACCAAGAUAGAGGAGAACAUUUGAUUUAUUCCAUGGAUGAACUACUCUGAAGCACACCAGGUUGUUCUAUCAUUUCUGAAAUGCAGGACAAGAAAUGGACCUGUGAUAGAGUCAGGCUGGGAAGUUACCACUUUAAGUGAAGAAGCUCAGCAGAGGAUUGGGGGGAUUGAAGAAGAUGAGCAUGGUUGUGAGGUGCAAGAGAGAGAAGGGACUUGAAGCUUCAUGGUUGAGACAGAGGCCAAGUCACUGUGGGCAGGGAUUCUUAAUUCACCAAUCACGCCACGCCACC
rnacentral:lncRNA from 1 species